GAUGAACGCUGGCGGCGUGCCUAACACAUGCAAGUCGAGCGAAGAGGGGAUGGGUGAGUAACACGUAGAUAACCUCCUAUAAGACUGGGAUACGUUAGGGAAACCGGAGAUAAAUACGAUACUAAUAUAUGGUUCUGCGCUGCAUUAGCUAUUAGGUACGGUAACGGCUUACCAAGGCAACGAUCCGUAGCCGAACUGCGAGGGUGAUCGGCCACACUGGGACUGAGACCCGGUCCAGACGCCUACGGGAGGCAGCAGUAGGGAAUCUUCCGCAAUGGGCGAAAGCCUGACGGAGCAACGCCGCGUGAGUGAUGAAGGUCUUCGGAUCGUAAAACUCUGUUAGUAGGGAAGCGGUACCUAAUCAGAAAGCCACGGCUAACUACGUGCCAGCAGCCGCGGUAAUUC
rnacentral:rRNA from 1 species